AGAGUUUGAUCCUGGCUCAGAUUGAACGCUGGCGGCAUGCCUUACACAUGCAAGUCGAACGGUAGAGGGGCAACCCUUGAGAGUGGCGAACGGGUGAGUAAUAUAUCGGAACGUGCCCAGUCGUGGGGGAUAACGCAGCGAAAGCUGCGCUAAUACCGCAUACGAUCUAUGGAUGAAAGCGGGGGAUCGCAAGACCUCGCGCGAUUGGAGCGGCCGAUAUCAGAUUAGGUAGUUGGUGGGGUAAAAGCCCACCAAGCCGACGAUCUGUAGCUGGUCUGAGAGGACGACCAGCCACACUGGGACUGAGACACGGCCCAGACUCCUACGGGAGGCAGCAGCGGGGAAUUUUGGACAAUGGGCGCAAGCCUGAUCCAGCAAUGCCGCGUGCAGGACGAAGGCCUUCGGGUUGUAAACUGCUUUUGUACGGAGCGAAACGGUCUGGGUUAAUACCCUGGGNUAAUGACGGUACCGUAAGAAUAAGCACCGGCUAANUNNNNNNNNNCCGCCGCGGUAAUAC
rnacentral:rRNA from 1 species